rnacentral:rRNA from 1 species
CGUAGGUGAACCUGCGGAGGGAUCAUUGCUGGAACGCGCCCCAGGCGCACCCAGAAACCCUUUGUGAACUUAUACCUUACUGUUGCCUCGGCGCAUGCUGGCCUCUAGUAGGCCCCUCAUCCCGGUGAGGAGACGGCACGCCGGCGGCCAAGUUAACUCUUGUUUUUACACUGAAACUCUGAGAAAAAACACAAAUGAAUCAAAACUUUCAACAACGGAUCUCUUGGUUCUGGCAUCGAUGAAGAACGCAGCGAAAUGCGAUAAGUAAUGUGAAUUGCAGAAUUCAGUGAAUCAUCGAAUCUUUGAACGCACAUUGCGCCCUCUGGUAUUCCGGAGGGCAUGCCUGUUCGAGCGUCAUUUCAACCCUCAAGCAUUGCUUGGUGUUGGGGCACUGCUUUUUACCGAAGCAGGCCCUGAAAUCUAGUGGCGAGCUCGCCAGGACCCCGAGCGCAGUAGUUAAACCCUCGCUCUGGAAGGCCCUGGCGGUGCCCUGCCGUUAAACCCCCAACUUUUGAAAAUUGACCUC